GUCUCGCCCGCUAUUCUAGGUGCCUGUUGGUUGUGAGCCAUUUCAACUGAACAGGGUAAACGGGAAGUAUGGUGUCACCAGACAAACAUGGCUGUCUAGGUUAACCCAUCGCUGCCCCCGCAACGGUAAGCAUCCUUUGAGAUGUCAGCCCGACACCGGCCUAUGAACUAGUUAUUUA
rnacentral:ncRNA from 2 species